UCCAGGGGAAGAAAGAAGUCUUUUCAGAGAGCACGACUUUGCACCAGGUUCUCUGCCAGGAGUCAUGGGGCUUUUGGAUGCCCUGGAGAGGUCACAUCACAUUGUGGUAGAGAUGCAUCCAAAUGAAUACAUGAGAAGUCUUAACAAUGCACAUGGGCAUGAACUUUCUAACAGACAAAUUGCCCUCUGAAGCUGUAACAGGUCACACACAUCCCACUUCCACUGGCAAGAGGAUGCGAUGGCUCUGAGCUCAGCCCUCAAGAAAAAGGAGCAAUUCCUUGAGUUCACCCUCUGGGAUCUCCCAGCAAGAAAGCCCAUAGAGACCUGCCAGGAGAAAUGGGUCUGCACCCUGCAAAGGGAAGGUACAGCCUUUCACUCAA